AAUGAAGCCUAAGUCAUGCUAUCUUGUUACUUUUCUCACUUUCCUUAUAUCAUUUCCUUGUUUAUUAUGUUUUCUAAAUUUUUCAACAUUGUCCUGAAUAACAUGUACGCUAUGUAAAAUGAUAAUUUAGAGUUUGAUAAUAUUGUAUGUCCUAUGAGGCUUGUUUGCGCACAAGGCUAAGCCUAAAUUUUCUGCCAAACCUGAAACAUCAAUCCAAGAACCAACCAGGUGAUUUAGUCUAUUGCAGUCCAAGGAUUUUUGUUCCAUAAAGCAUAAAAUUAAAGAAUUAAAUCAUGCAAGCUUUCAAUAGAUAAGUUUUCAUCUUUUUUCACAAUAUGGUCUUUUUUUUUCAGAAAAAAAAAAAGUAUUUAGGUCCAUACUUUCAUUCGAAACAUUGCAUGUGAACCACCUAAUAUUAGUGAAAUCUUUCUAUGUAUCCAUUUUUAUUUAUUCUCUUAACCUGUAAUGCUAAACUGUAACAACUAAACCCGGGUCCCCUUUGUAAGGGCUGAGGUUAGAUUUCUUAUCAUAUCCCAUGUUGUGUGUUAACCAUCAUUCAGAGCUGGGGGCUGUGAUACUGGGCAUGGUUGUCAAGCAGAAACAAGAAGCAAAGCAUCAGGUAAAGACCAACACUUUGAAGAUAUUUAAACAGUCAAAGAAAAAUUUAAAAAAAAAAAGCCUGUGAAGUUUUUAACGAAUUGAGUUUCACAGGAGUGUCAACAAAGAGAAGAAAAAAGAAGCAGGUUCGAAGCUUUUAUUUAUUAUUUUCCUGGGAAUGGUUUGUAAGUAUCUAAAUAUAAAAUAUUAGUCAGGUCCAAAUAUCCAACCUUUUCUACCACAGAUUAGCUUAUUCCACUUAAAAGACAAAUAUAUUGCAGUAAGAUAUUCACAACCCUUGCAAAAGGAAGCAAUUCAGUUGCCACUUUUUUUUUUUAAAGAGAACCGCAUAAAUCAACACUAACAAACAUCUUCUCAUAUAAGUUAUUUCCUCAAAGAAAAAAAAAACGAAAAA